GGACUACACGGGUAUCUAAUCCCGUUCGCUCCCCUGGCUUUCGCGUCUCAGCGUCAGUAGGCGUCCAGGACCUCGCUUUCGCCACGGGCGUUCCUUCCGAUCUCAACGCAUUUCACCGCUCCACCGGAAGUUCCAGGUCCCCCUACGCCCCUCCAGACCGGCCGUAUCCGCGCCCGUUCCCCGGUUGAGCCGGGGGAUUUCAGCGACAGACGUGCCGAUCCGCCUACACGCGCUUUAAGCCCAGUGAUUCCGAAUAACGUUCGCACGGUUCGUCUUACCGCGGCUGCUGGCAC
rnacentral:rRNA from 1 species